rnacentral:rRNA from 1 species
GACGUAGGGCGCGAGCGUUGUCCGGAUUUAUUGGGCGUAAAGAGCUCGUAGGCGGCUUGUCGCGUCGUCUGUGAAAUCCCGCGGCUCAACCGCGGGUCUGCAGUCGAUACGGGCAGGCUAGAGUUCGGUAGGGGAGACUGGAAUUCCUGGUGUAGCGGUGAAAUGCGCAGAUAUCAGGAGGAACACCGGUGGCGAAGGCGGGUCGCUGGGCCGAUAUUGACGCUGAGGAGCGAAAGCGUGGGUAGCAAACAGG